GAGAAAGUGGGGGCAACCCUGCGAGUACAGUGGCAGACGGGUGAGUAACACGUGAACAACCUACCCUUGAGUGGGGAAUAACACCGCGAAAGCGGUGCUAAUACCGCAUAAAAUCUUAAGGUCGCAUGGCUUUAAGAUCAAAAGCGCAAGUUGCUUGAGGAGGGGUUCGCGUCUGAUUAGCUAGUUGGUGAGGUAACGGCCCACCAAGGCAACGAUCAGUAGCCGGCCUGAGAGGGUGAACGGCCACACUGGAACUGAGACACGGUCCAGACUCCUACGGGAGGCAGCAGUGGGGAAUUUUGCGCAAUGGGCGAAAGCCUGACGCAGCAACGCCGCGUGGAGGAUGAAGGCCUUCGGGUCGUAAACUCCUGUCGAUGGGGACGAAAGCCUGCAAAGGUUUGACUGUACCCGUUGAGGAAGCCACGGCUAACUCCGUGCCAGCAGCCGCGGUAAUACGGAGGUGGCAAGCGUUGUUCGGAAUUACUGGGCGUAAAGGGCGCGUAGGCGGCAAAACAAGUCAGAUGUGAAAGCCCCGGGCUUAACCCGGGAAUUGCAUCUGAAACUGAUUUGCUUGAGUUCUGGAGGGGGUAGUGGAAUUCCCAGUGUAGCGGUGAAAUGCGUAGAUAUUGGGAGGAACACCUGCGGCGAAGGCGGCUACCUGGACAGUAACUGACGCUGAGGCGCGAAAGCUAGGGGAGCGAACAGGAUUAGAUACCCUGGUAGUCCUAGCUGUAAACGAUGGGCACUUGGUGUUGGGGGUAUUGAGUCCCCCGGUGCCGGAG
rnacentral:rRNA from 1 species